UCACUGGGGUGGGGCUUUUUUUUAUUGGUCUUAGUAAUCUUCCAAAAAGAGAUCAGACUCUGUGCCUGCCAGUGCCUGAAUUCCUCCCUAAGAAUAAAGGUAUAUUUCGAGAAGCACAUGAAUCCUUGCAAGCUUACAGCUACUUAUGAAGCUAUGAAUGCCUCAAUGAUCCUAAACAAAACUUCACCUGCAAGCCUAAGAGCGGGUCCUAGACACAACAAGACUCUGCGAGGAGAGAGAAGAGAGAGGGAGAUGAAGAAGGAGACAGAGAGAGGGAAUUUGCACUCACAAAAGGUGCGCAGCUUCUGACCGGGGGGAACAGGUCGGUGGUGGAGUUGAGCAGACCCCAUGCCAGCUGCCCUGAAGCCCCGCAGCCUGUCCAUUUGUUUGGGGACCCACCUUGGGCUGCCAGCUCCGAGAUGCUUCCUAGAAGUACAAGGCCUUGUGCAGACGUCAGGAAAUGGGCAGCGAAGUUGCGACCACUUCUGUUUCCACUGGGCAAACAGCACAAGGAGCUUGGAGGAAGCCGGGACCUUCAGGAUGUCCCUGUGCAUGGCCGGUCCCUGGGAUGUUUCAAAGACCUGAAGAAUGAAAGAAGUGCUUCCUUUCCUUUGGCAAAGGAACUUAGCUAUCACCUUAACUGCUUUCAGUUGAUCCAAUACUUGUCAUUUCUUUGUCCUGAGGGCAUUCAAAAUACCGUUUCCCCGCGCUUGUGGGACACACAGUACGUUUUUGUUAGUUGCAUUCGCCCUACGGUGACUACAACCGCACAGUUUCUUCUUCCCACCUCAUGGUAACAUUGUACCCGUUGCACUCACCUGCCCUGGACCCUUGUGAUCACUAUUCUACCCUCAACUUUUAGGACAUAGUUUUAAAAAUUGCAAUUAUGAG
ensembl:lncRNA